AACCCCCUGAGUGGCACGUGAUGAGCCGACGCACCGUAGAACCAACAUUCGUAUGCAGGGAGUCCGAAUUCUGCGCGCCCGUGCCUGCCCGGCUUCGACCGGGACGCUGAAGGCCCGCCGUGAGGACACCCACCUGACGCGUUUCAGGUUCUAAACGCGACGCUCGCACGGCCACUCGGGGGGCGC
rnacentral:other from 1 species